rnacentral:lncRNA from 1 species
AUGAAGGGACAGUUCAUUUUGGCCUUAUUGAUGAUCCCAGAGAAGGAACAUUGGGAGGAUUAUAAGUUCAUGUUACAGCGUCUCUUAAUCACAGUCCCUUUCUUGGAGAGAUUAAUGUUUCAUCUAGGGACUCUGUGAAAUGC